rnacentral:tmRNA from 1 species
UAAUUUAAAAUUUUAUGAAGGUGAAGAAACAUAAAGAGAUUCUUGAUGAAGGUAAUGAGAGUAACUAAUAUGGACCUGGGUGCAAUACCCAGCGCCUCCACCAAUCCUAGAUAGACCUUUAAGGGGGCGAAAUAGGAUCGACAGUUAGAAAAAAUCGUACUGGAGAGGAUAGUCCAAAGACUUUAAACUAAAAUAAAAGCAAACUUUAAUGAGUAUGCAUUAGCAGCGUAGGCUGUUAGGGGUUUGCCUGUACCUUGCAACAGAAACAGGCACA